rnacentral:rRNA from 1 species
GAGAGUUUGAUCCUGGCUCAGGAUGAACGCUAGCUACAGGCUUAACACAUGCAAGUCGAGGGGCAGCAUGGUCUUAGCUUGCUAAGGCCGAUGGCGACCGGCGCACGGGUGAGUAACACGUAUCCAACCUGCCGUCUACUCUUGGACAGCCUUCUGAAAGGAAGAUUAAUACAAGAUGGCAUCAUGAGUCCGCAUGUUCACAUGAUUAAAGGUAUUCCGGUAGACGAUGGGGAUGCGUUCCAUUAGAUAGUAGGCGGGGUAACGGCCCACCUAGUCUUCGAUGGAUAGGGGUUCUGAGAGGAAGGUCCCCCACAUUGGAACUGAGACACGGUCCAAACUCCUACGGGAGGCAGCAGUGAGGAAUAUUGGUCAAUGGGCGAGAGCCUGAACCAGCCAAGUAGCGUGAAGGAUGACUGCCCUAUGGGUUGUAAACUUCUUUUAUAAAGGAAUAAAGUCGGGUAUGGAUACCCGUUUGCAUGUACUUUAUGAAUAAGGAUCGGCUAACUCCGUGCCAGCAGCCGCGGUAAUACGGAGGAUCCGAGCGUUAUCCGGAUUUAUUGGGUUUAAAGGGAGCGUAGAUGGAUGUUUAAGUCAGUUGUGAAAGUUUGCGGCUCAACCGUAAAAUUGCAGUUGAUACUGGAUAUCUUGAGUGCAGUUGAGGCAGGCGGAAUUCGUGGUGUAGCGGUGAAAUGCUUAGAUAUCACGAAGAACUCCGAUUGCGAAGGCAGCCUGCUAAGCUGCAACUGACAUUGAGGCUCGAAAGUGUGGGUAUCAAACAGGAUUAGAUACCCUGGUAGUCCACACGGUAAACGAUGAAUACUCGCUGUUUGCGAUAUACUGCAAGCGGCCAAGCGAAAGCGUUAAGUAUUCCACCUGGGGAGUACGCCGGCAACGGUGAAACUCAAAGGAAUUGACGGGGGCCCGCACAGGCGGAGGAACAUGUGGUUUAAUUCGAUGAUACGCGAGGAACCUUACCCGGGCUUAAAUUGCAGAUGAAUUACGGUGAAAGCCGUAAGCCGCAAGGCAUCUGUGAAGGUGCUGCAUGGUUGUCGUCAGCUCGUGCCGUGAGGUGUCGGCUUAAGUGCCAUAACGAGCGCAACCCUUGUUGUCAGUUACUAACAGGUUCUGCUGAGGACUCUGACAAGACUGCCAUCGUAAGAUGUGAGGAAGGUGGGGAUGACGUCAAAUCAGCACGGCCCUUACGUCCGGGGCUACACACGUGUUACAAUGGGGGGUACAGAGGGCCGCUACCACGCGAGUGGAUGCCAAUCCCAAAAACCUCUCUCAGUUCGGACUGGAGUCUGCAACCCGACUCCACGAAGCUGGAUUCGCUAGUAAUCGCGCAUCAGCCACGGCGCGGUGAAUACGUUCCCGGGCCUUGUACACACCGCCCGUCAAGCCAUGGGAGCCGGGGGUACCUGAAGUGCGUAACCGCGAGGAGCGCCCUAGGGUAAAACUGGUGACUGGGGCUAAGUCGUAACAAGGUAGCCG